rnacentral:rRNA from 1 species
UCGAGGGGCAGCGAGUAGAUUGCUUGCAAUCUACGUCGGCGACCGGCGCACGGGUGCGUAACGCGUAUGCAACCUACCCAUUACAGGGGGAUAACACUGAGAAAUCGGUACUAAUACCCCAUAACAUCCAGGGAGGCAUCUUCUUGGGUUGAAAACUCCGGUGGUAAUGGAUGGGCAUGCGUUGUAUUAGUUAGUUGGUGGGGUAACGGCUCACCAAGACGACGAUACAUAGGGGGACUGAGAGGUUAACCCCCCACAUUGGUACUGAGACACGGACCAAACUCCUACGGGAGGCAGCAGUGAGGAAUAUUGGUCAAUGGACGCAAGUCUGAACCAGCCAUGCCGCGUGCAGGAAGACGGCUCUAUGAGUUGUAAACUGCUUUUGUACGAGGGUAAACGCAGAUACGUGUAUCUGUCUGAAAGUAUCGUACGAAUAAGGAUCGGCUAACUCCGUGCCAGCAGCCGCGGUAAUACGGAGGAUUCAAGCGUUAUCCGGAUUUAUUGGGUUUAAAGGGUGCGUAGGCGGUCGGAUAAGUUAGAGGUGAAAUCCCGGGGCUCAACUUCGGAAUUGCCUCUGAUACUGUUCGGCUAGAGAGUAGUUGCGGUAGGCGGAAUGUAUGGUGUAGCGGU